AUUGAACGCUGGCGGCAGGCCUAACACAUGCAAGUCGAGCGGAGCGGCGGACGGGUGAGUAAGGCCUAGGAAUCUGACUGGUAGUGGGGGAUAACGUCAGGAAACGAGCGCUAAUACCGUAUCCUAUGAGAUGAGCCUAGGGCGGAUUAGCUAGUUGGUGGGGUAAAGGCCUACCAAGGCGACGAUCCGUAACUGGUCUGAGAGGAGUAUCAGUCAGACUGGAACUGCUACACGGUCCAGACUCCUACGGGAGGUAGCAGUGGGGAAUAUGGGACAAUGGGCGAAAGCCUGAUCCAGCCAUGCCGCGGAUGUUAAGAAGGUCUUCGGAUUGUAAAGCACGUUAAGUUGUGAGGCGUUACCAACAGAAUAAGCACCGGCUAACUUCGUGCCAGCAGCCGCGGUAAUUC
rnacentral:rRNA from 1 species